CUGGCAGCCCUGUUUUUUUCCAGACAGAGGGUUGUGAGCGCACCUGGGGAGGAGGCCUGGUCUUGUGGAAGCUGAACUUAGCUGCGCCAGGCUGACAGCUCUGCCUGAGGUGGUAUGGAGU
rfam:Ochotona princeps cont2.96774, whole genome shotgun sequence.